UGAGGCAGAAGAAUUGCUUGAACCCAGGAAGUGGAGGUUGCAGUGAGCCGAUAUCGAGCCACUGCACUCCAGCCUGGGCAACAGAGCGAGACUCCGUCU
rnacentral:miRNA from 1 species